rnacentral:rRNA from 1 species
GUCAUAUGCUUGUCUCAAAGAUUAAGCCAUGCAUGUCUGAGUACAGACCGAUCUAAGGUGAAACCGCGAAUGGCUCAUUAAAUCAGUCGUAAUUUCUUGGAUAGUGAAAAACUUUCCUCGGAUAACUGUGGAAAAUCCAGAGCUAAUACGUGCAACUGAGCUCAGACCUCGGCGCGAGCCUUGGGAAGAGCGCAUUUAUUAGAUUCAAAACUGACCGGUGUACUCCUUCGGGAUAUGCCGUUUGUCAAAUGUUUGAUGACUCCGGAUAACUUAGCCGAGCGCUACGGUCUUUAGUACCGGCGCCGUAUCUUUCAAGUGUCUGCCUUAUCAGCUUUCGAUUGUAGGUUAAACGCCUACAAUGGCUGUAACGGGUAACGGGGAAUCAGGGUUCGAUUCCGGAGAGGGAGCCUGAGAAACGGCUACCACAUCUAAGGAAGGCAGCAGGCACGCAAAUUACCCACUCCCAGUCCGGGGAGGUAGUGACGAAAAAUAACGAUGCGAGACUCUUCCGAGGCCUCGCAAUCGGAAUGAGUCCAUCCUAAAUCUUUGGACGAGGAUCCAUUGGAGGGCAAGUCUGGUGCCAGCAGCCGCGGUAAUUCCAGCUCCAAUAGCGUAUAUUAAAGUUGCUGCGGUUAAAAAGCUCGUAGUUGGACUUUCUAGAUCCAUUUCGUGGAUGAGUCGCUCGAUGUACUAAUUACUUAAGUCGGUCGCUCGAUGAUGUCGCGUUUCGGCUCUUCGUCGUCUCCCUGCGUUGACGGUGAUGCGCGUCUACGUACGCGUAGCGCGUACCCGACUCGUUAGGUGUGACGUCGUUGUUGUCGUUUCUUGCUUCGGAAUCUUGAGGACGUUAAGUGUGCGGUCUUUGAGUAUAGCUCGUCCGCGUUUGGUACAAUUAAAUUUUUGUCGGCUCGCUCGGAGUGCUCUUUACCGAGUGUUCCAGGGUGGCCGACACGUUCACUUUGAAAAAAUUAGAGUGCUUAAAGGGGGCUUAUAUACGGCCGGAAUGUCUGUGCAUGGAAUGAAGUAACAGGACCUCGAUUCUGUUGUUUUUGUCGGUUUUAAUGAACCGAGGUAAUGAUUAAAAGGGACAGACGGUGGCAUUAGUAUUGCGGCGCUAGAGGUGAAAUUCUUGGACCGUCGCAAGACUAACUACUGCGAAAGCAUUUGCCGAGAAUGUUUUCAUUAAUCAAGAACGAAAGUUAGAGGAUCGAAGGCGAUCAGAUACCGCCCUAGUUCUNACCCUAAACUAUGCUAACUAGCGAUCCGCCGAAGUCAUUCCCACGACUCGGCGGGAAGCCCCAGGGRAAACAAAGUCUUUUGAGUUNCCGGGGGAAGUAUGGUUGCAAAGCUGAAACUUAAAGGAAUUGACGGAAGGGCACCACCAGGAGUGGAGCCUGCGGAUUAAUUUGACUCAACACGGGAAACCUCACCAGGCCCGGACAUCAUAAGGAUUGACAGAUUGAGAGCUCUUUCUCGAUUUGAUGGGUGGUGGUGCAUGGCCGUUCUUAGUUGGUGGAGUGAUCUGUCUGGUUGAUUCCGAUAACGAACGAGACUCUACCCUACUAACUAGUCGGCGGAUCGUAACCCUGAGAUGGUUAGUUUGUAUAGGAUUGUUUCGCCGAGACAAAGUUCUCUCGAUGAUGGGGAUUCCGAAGCGUUCGCGCGUUCGCUUUCGUCUGUAUUCGUACUUUCGUUUGCGUGUCGCGCGUGUCGUGUAAAGAGUUUCCCUGUCGAGUAGUAUCGAUGUCGAAGCUGCUUUCUGAUUACUACUACUACUGGGGGCGUCCGUCGCAAUAUAUCUUCUUAGAGGGAUCAGCGGCGUCUAGCCGCACGAGAAAGAGCAAUAACAGGUCUGUGAUGCCCUUAGAUGUUCUGGGCCGCACGCGCGCUACAAUGUAGGGAUCAGCGUGCGUCCCUUCUCCGAAAGGAGUGGGUAACCGGUUGAAUCCUCUACUUGAUUGGGAUUGGGGAUUGCAAAUAUUUCCCAUAAACGAGGAAUUCCCAGUAAGCGUGAGUCACUAACUCGCGCUGAUUACGUCCCUGCCCUUUGUACACACCGCCCGUCGCUACUACCGAUUGAAUGAUUCAGUGAGGGCAUCGGACUGUCGCCUUCGGUUUAGUAACAUAGAUCUUAGGCUGACGGAAAGAUGUCCGAACUUGAUCAU